rnacentral:rRNA from 1 species
UACGAAGGGUGCAAGCGUUACUCGGAAUUACUGGGCGUAAAGCGUGCGUAGGCGGUUUGUUAAGUCCGUUGUGAAAGCCCUGGGCUCAACCUGGGAAUUGCAGUGGAUACUGGCGAGCUAGAGUGUGGUAGAGGAUGGUGGAAUUCCCGGUGUAGCGGUGAAAUGCGUAGAGAUCGGGAGGAACACCCGUGGCGAAGGCGGCCAUCUGGACCAGCACUGACGCUGAGGCACGAAAGCGUGGGGAGCAAACGGG